AGGGAGCUCAAAUCCCUAAACGCGGAUAUUGUAUGUCUCCAGGAGACACACUUUAGACACAUGGAUCACCCCAACAUCCAAACACUGCAAUUUCCACAACAAUACCACGCCACAUCACCUACUAAAUCUAGGGGCGCCUCUAUCCUCUUAAGCAAACACGUAAAGUUUGAACCACAACACCAUGAAACGGACAAUAAUGGCAGAUAUGUCCUCCUACAGGGCAAAAUAAACGAUAUGGCCUACACAAUAAUCAAUGUCUACACACCUAACACAAAU